AGGUUCUUUCUACUCUUGGUUACAUGAUAUCAAUAGGUCUCUGUAGACCUUUCAUGGUAAUUUUUGCUUUGUAACUUGCUUUCAAAAGUCCAAUACUCGUGGUUUUUAAUUGGAGAAUCUCUUUUAUAUGCUUUCAAAUGAUGAACAGAUUCUCUGGAAGAAAUAUAAGGUUGCCGUGUGAUACUUUGCUUAUGGAUGUCAAACAGGUAUCUAUCACCGGCCUGGCAUAUAU
rnacentral:lncRNA from 1 species